AGAGUUUGAUCCUGGCUCAGGAUGAACGCUGGCGGCGUGCCUAACACAUGCAAGUCGAGCGAUUUACUUCGGUAAAGAGCGGCGGACGGGUGAGUAACGCGUGGGUAACCUGCCUCAUACACAUGGAUAACAUACCGAAAGGUAUGCUAAUACAGGAUAAUAUAAGAGAUUCACAUGGAUUUCUUAUCAAAGUUCCGGCGGUAUGAGAUGGACCCGCGUCUGAUUAGCUAGUUGGUAAGGUAAUGGCUUACCAAGGCGACGAUCAGUAGCCGACCUGAGAGGGUGAUCGGCCACAUUGGAACUGAGACACGGUCCAAACUCCUACGGGAGGCAGCAGUGGGGAAUAUUGCACAAUGGGCGAAAGCCUGAUGCAGCAACGCCGCGUGAGUGAUGAAGGCCUUCGGGUCGUAAAACUCUGUCCUCAAGGAAGAUAAUGACGGUACUUGAGGAGGAAGCCCCGGCUAACUACGUGCCAGCAGCCGCGGUAAUACGUAGGGGGCUAGCGUUAUCCGGAUUUACUGGGCGUAAAGGGUGCGUANGUGGUUUUUUAAGUCAGGAGUGAAAGGCUACGGCUCAACCGUAGUAAGCUCUUGAAACUGGGAAACUUGAGUGCAGGAGAGGAAAGUGGAAUUCCUAGUGUAGCGGUGAAAUGCGUAGAUAUUAGGAGGAACACCAGUAGCGAAGGCGGCUUUCUGGACUGUAACUGACACUGAGGCACGAAAGCGUGGGGGAGCAAACAGGAUUAGAUACCCUGGUAGUCCACGCCGUAAACGAUGAGUACUA
rnacentral:rRNA from 1 species